GACGUAGGGUCCAAGCGUUGUCCGGAUUUACUGGGCGUAAAGAGCGCGUAGGCGGCUCGGUAAGUGUGAAGUGAAAUCUCUAGGGCUCAACCCAGAAACUGCUUUACAUACUGUCGAGCUGGAGUGAUGAAGAGGUUUGUGGAAUUCCUGGUGUAGCGGUGAAAUGCGUUGAUAUCAGGAGGAACACCCAUGGCGAAGGCAGCAAACUGGUCAUCAACUGACGCUGAGGCGCGAAAAGCGUGGGGUAGCAAAACAGG
rnacentral:rRNA from 1 species